rnacentral:misc_RNA from 1 species
UUUCCGUAGGUGAACCUGCGGAAGGAUCAUUAGUGAAUUUGGGCAUUCGGAAGAGGCCCAUCCCCACUCUCCAACUCUGUGCACUUUUUGGCGGGUAAACUUUUAGCUCUUUUGAGCUGAUAUUUUCCUGCGGCUUUACUUUUCAAACACCUGUAAAAUGAAUGUAAAACAAACCAUAACAAAAUAAAACUUUCAACAACGGAUCUCUUGGCUCUG